rnacentral:lncRNA from 1 species
UCCAUUUCGCACAGAAACGACUCCGACUUAGUCUGACACUCUCCAGAUGUGUUGACCAGUCACUAAUACUGAAGCCAAUCCUAUCCAAAGCUCAGAAACACUACAAGUUGUACCCCUUAUGCACAUCUUUUGUUUUGAUGAAAAGAAUUUGUAUAAAUGUAAACUUGGGAGAUAUAUUAUGUAUAUAAUGAUGUAUGAAAAAGAGAGUUGUAUUUUGGCUAAAGUAAUCAAAAUUCAAUGUAUGGAUGUAAUAGUUAGAAUUUAUUUU